UAAGUCUGGACCAUCUGAAAAUGGCAGGCUAUCUCGCAGGAGCAGCUCUGGCUCUCUUGACUUAGUAGCUGAACAUCCCACUGGUGUCGAAGAAACUGGUUGGAACGGUCUUCGGAUGCCAGAAACAGACAAGGGCUUUGUAAAUAGCAAUGACAGGCCUAAAACAAAGAUGCUCGAGACUGUAAAUAAUAGAGAGCUUUAAGAUGGAGGCUCAACACAAGUUUGUAAAUAAUAACAAAGAUGGCCUGAACGUGGAGAAUCAAUUAGAAGAUGCGGAUGAUGAGUUUGAUUAGAGGUGUGCAGAAAUUCUUUUAUUCUCCAGGGAGGUUAAUUAACAGUGUCAUGAGUGGAAAUUGUAAAGAGUGAGGCAUAGGUGGGGGUUGACUGGAAACUGAAAUUAUGGGAUACUAAAUUGCUGGGGUUUUCAUGUUCUGUUGACUAUGUAAAUAACAGACUUAACAGACUUCAGAAUAUGUUCCGAAUAAUCAGUUGUAUUAUGUAAAUAAUAGCAUGACUUUAUAAACCCUUGGUUGCUUAGUCUUUUAUUCCAUUAAUUUAAUUUAAUUUGUUACCA